rnacentral:rRNA from 1 species
GACGAACGCUGGCGGCGUGCUUAACACAUGCAAGUCGAGCGGAAAGGCCCUGCGUUUGUGGGUUGCACGAGAGGCGAACGGGUGAGUAACACGUGAGUAACCUGCCCUUGAAUUAGGGAUAACUCCACGAAACUGGGGCUAAUACCGGAUAGGAUCUAUUGCUGCAUAGUGGGGGAUGGAGAAUUUAGGCGGUUGGGGAUGGUCUGGCGGCUUAUCAGCUUUUUUGUGGGGUAGUGGAUUACCAGGGCUUUGAGGGGUAGCAGGCCUGGGAGGGUGGCCGGCCACAUUGGGACUGAGAUACGGCCCAGACUCCUACGGGAGGCAGGAGUGGGGAAGAUUACACAAUGGGCGGAAGCCAGAUGCAGCAACGCCGCGUGCGGGAUGACGGCCUUCGGGUUGUAAACCGAUGUCGCCUGUGACGAAGCGUGAGUGACGGUAAUGUGUAAAGAAGCACCGGCUAACUACGUG